rnacentral:lncRNA from 1 species
GGAUGAUAAAAGAAUGUGGAAACGGCCAAAUAAGGCACAAUGUUAUCUGGUGUGAACUAAUCAGAGUGGGACAUGACAGCACGUUUAUCUAGGUAAAAAUGUAUAUAAGCUGUGUUUAGUAGUGAAUAAACGCCAUUUGCCUCACUUACUCCUGGGGUCUGGGUGAGCAUCUGGCCCCGACCUGGUAAAGGGUCGGUUUCGCCCAGCAGUAAGCCCUACAUGUGGACAGAGGACGAACACCGGAUGAGCGAACGGAGACUACAUGCAACAGUG